UGCAGGUGAAGGGCUGGAAAAGAUGCACUGGAAGACUAAACAAACACCAAAUCGCCAUAGAGCAGAUUAUAAACACCAAAUCGCCAUAAAACAAACACCAAAUUGUGAUAGAACAUAAUAUAAACACCAAAUCACGAUAGAACAGAUUAUAAACAAGUACCAAAUCAUGACAGAACAGAUUGUAAACACCAAAUCACCACAGAACAUACUAUGAACACCAAAUCACGAUAGAGCAGAUUAUAAACAAGCACCAAAUCAUCACAGAACAGAUUAUAAACACCAAAUCAACAUACAACAGAUUAUAAACACCAAAUUGCCAUAGAACAGAAUAUAAAUACCAAAUUGUGACCGAACAGAUGAUAAACACCAAAUCGUCACAGAACAAUUUGUAAACACCAAAUCACCAUAGAGCAGAUUGUAAACACCAAAUCACG
rnacentral:lncRNA from 1 species